UACGUAGGGACCAAGCGUUGUUCGGAUUUACUGGGCGUAAAGGGCGCGUAGGCGGCAAUUCAAGUCAUCUGUGAAAUCUCCGGGCUUAACUCGGAACGGUCAGAUGAUACUGCUUUGCUAGAGUGCAGAAGGGGCAAUCGGAAUUCUUGGUGUAGCGGUGAAAUGCGUAGAUAUCAAGAGGAACACCUGAGGUGAAGACGGGUUGCUGGGCUGACACUGACGCUGAGGCGCGAAAGCCAGGGGAGCAAACGGGAUUAGAAACCCGGUAGUCC
rnacentral:rRNA from 1 species